rnacentral:misc_RNA from 1 species
GGCGACAUACAACCUAUGUUUGCCCUCAAUAUGAUGGUCCGCCAUGGAAGAGUGGAGUGCCUGUCUCAUAAACUCUGUCGUACCUACCUUACCAUGAAAUGGCGAGCCUAUGGUAUGUGGGUGCACUCAGUGAAUCUCGUGCUGUACAUUGUCUAUCUCGCCCUGCUGACAUUGCUGGCCACCAAAGACUUCACGUCACACACGCCGCUCCCCAACAAUUCUACUCUGAAUUCAACGCAAAUCACAGGAACCAAAUCUGAUGAAAUGACCACGUGGUACCGGAUGAUCACGGGGCUGGUGUUCGUUCUGACGUCAAUCAACAUCCUCAAGGAGCUUGUCCAGAUGGUGCAACAGCGGCUGCGGUACUUCCUGGACCCCAAUAACUUGGUGGAGUGGGUGCUGUACGUGUCGACGGCCGUCUUUAUCGCCCCCGUGCUCUUCAAUGACUCGGACUGCCUCAACAUGGAGGCCGGGGCGGUAGCUGUGUUCCUGGCCUGGUUCAACUGUCUCCUGUUCCUGCAAAGGUUUGACGUAUUCGGGAUUUACGUGGUGAUGUUUCUGGAGAUCCUGGCCACAUUGUUCCAGGCGCUCUGUGUCUUCUCCAUUCUCCUGGUUGCUUUCGGGCUCGCCUUCUCCAUUUUGCUGAGACACGAGGACAGCCACGCCUACUCCACGCCCCUGAUGUCCAUCGUGCGGGCGACGGUUAUGAUGCUGGAGCUGGACUACAUGUCGUCCUUCAAUGAGCCCUACUUUGACGACAAGCCCAGCACGCUGCCCUACCCCUCCCUCACCGUCUUCUUCAUGCUCCUCUUCGUUCUCCUGAUGCCCAUCCUCCUGGUCAACCUACUGAUCGGUUUGGCAGUUGGAGACAUAGAAUCAGUGCUAAGGAACGCAACUCUGAAACGCCUUGCCAUGCAGGUGGAGUUGCACACGGAACUGGAGCGCCGUCUGCCGGCCAAACUUCUGGAGAAAGUGGACAAAAUAAAGCACAAGGAGUAUCCGAACAAGUGCGGGAAAUACGUCAGGGUGUUUAAGAACCUGAUGGAGAAGGAUGCCGACAGUAGCUCGGUGUGUGGGGGCGAGGAGGCCAGCUACGUCAAAACGGAACUCUUCAAGCAGAAAACCAGGUUGAAAGAACUUUCUGUGAAUAUGGAACGAAAUUAUGACAUGCUGAAACUGAUAGUUCAGAAAAUGGAAAUAGAAACAGAAGCAGACAACCAUGAUGAAGGCUUUCACACGUCACACAGUCUCGAUGACGUCAUCAAUCCCACCUGCUCCAAAUGGAACUCGGACGUCCUAAGGAAGAACCUGAUUCGACAGAAUGCAGUCAUCUCUAAAUGGAAAGAACAUUCUCAACACUCCAAUAUACAGAGUACCUUUGAUUGCUGAGUUAGAUUUUGAUGGAGUUCAAAUGACAUUUUGGCUGAUGAAUCUCUUACAUGUAUCUCAACAUUGUUAUCAGUUUUGAUCAAGAACAAAUCCCCAUGUGUUUCAUGUUAGACAUUCGUGAGUUCAGUCUCCAGUAUUGUAAAGAGUUAAACUGUUUGUUGUUGAACAAAAAAUGUCGUAUUUGGUCUUAUUGAUGCAAGUUGAUUGUUCAUUGGUUUCCAACUUCAUUUUAAGGUAGAACCUAUGUCGCUAUAUAUCAUAUCUUCUGAGAAUAACUACCGAUGGAUGUGAAGCAAUUUGAAAUGACUGGUUUACAUUUUUAAACAAAUUAUUCUUACUAACUAAAUGAAAACUUGCAUUUCUUAAUAUAUAGUUUAGUGUUUUCGCCUAAGUUCGUUGUACAGUUCUCUUUAUGGCAAAGUUUCUGUUGUGACAAAAGUCCUUCCAUUACUGUAUGUAUGGAAUAAAGAACGUUUUUAAGCCAUUUAAAUUCUCACUGUAUACUGUUUACAUGUAUUGUGAACUGGGAAUUAAAAAUAAAAGAAGUGAAACAAU